UACAGAGGUCCCGAGCGUUGUUCGGAUUCACUGGGCGUAAAGGGUGCGCAGGUGGGUUUGCAAGUUCGAUGUGAAAGCCCCGGGCUCAACCUGGGAAUUGCGAUGGAGACUGCACGGCUAGAGUGUGUCAGAGGGGGGUAGAAUUCCACGUGUAGCAGUGAAAUGCGUAGAUAUGUGGAGGAACACCGAUGGCGAAGGCAGCCCCCUGGGAUAACACUGACGCUCAUGCACGAAAGCGUGGGGAGCAAACAGG
rnacentral:rRNA from 1 species